rnacentral:SRP_RNA from 1 species
GCCAGGUGUGGUGGUGCAUGCCUGUAGUCCCAGCUACCUGAGAGGCUGAGGCUGGAGAAUCCCUUGAGUUCAGGAGUUCUGGGAUGUAGUGUGCUAUACCGAUCGAGUGUCUGUGCUAAGUUCAGCAUCAAUAUGGUGACCUCCUGGGAGCAGGGAACCACCAGGUUACCUAAGGAGUGGUGAACCAGUCAAGGUCAGAAAUGGAGCAGGAUAAAACUUCUGUGCUGAUCAGUAGUGGGAUUGCACCUGUGAAUAACCACUGCACUCCAGCCUGGGCAACAGAGUGAGACCCUGCCUCA